rnacentral:lncRNA from 1 species
GGACUUUUUUUGACAAAUGAUGCUCAACCUGAGAUUGUAAUUAAAUCUAAAUGACUCCGCGCUUAGUUAAGGAAGGUAACGCUGGCUUGUAUACGCGUAGAAGAUAUCGAUAGUUUGUUCGGUAACUUUCAAGUUCUUGAAGACUACGCUGUUCAGAAGCUGUUCAAAAGCUUGACCUCUUUUUGGCCAAGUUAAUUAACCACAGUGCUCAGCGUUUUGUGUUUUUCCUGAGUUGCCGCACAGAUUUUGUACGAAUAUCCAACUAUGGUUUGUGCAUGGAAGUGGUUCCUGGUGAUGUUUUUGAUUCUUUCACUGCAAAUCUCGUUGAGUUUUAGUUGGCGGAGGAGAAGAACGAGUCUCCCGGCGUGUCGCUGCCACAAGAAGUAUCAGCCCAGAUGUAAAUUGAUAUUUAAAAGUAGCAGUGGUAAGAAAUACUCAGUGGACGACAAAAGGUGUUCAAGUCUAUGUCGACACUGCCCUUAUAGUAUCAGAUGCAAACACGACAAUACACGCGGAGCCUGGGAAACAUGGACAUGUCAGAAAUAGCGCUUUAGUAUUAGACUUGUACCCUCAGGGGGUGGGAAAGGAGUUUUUUUCUACUUCAGACUGCUUUAUGGUUAGAUUUAUUAACUUUAAACUUCUAUCGGGUGGUAGUGUAAAUCUACUAAUCGUUCAAAACUUAUCAACAAGACACAGGCUCAAGUUAUGUUUUUGCAGAAUAAUGUCUACUUAUUUAACUCAUUAUCUAUCACUGAGUAAAUAGCGAGUAGCGCAGCCAAUCAGAUAGCAACAAUUUUUGAUAGUAGAAAUAGAUUUAUGUUAUACGGGAAUAUACUCCUCACAAAAGUGAAGACUCCUUUUCCUAACGAUUUUGACAAAGAAAAGGGCAAGAAAAACUAUCAUUAACUAUUUGUAAUGUGGUAUCUGUAGCCUGUUUCAUCUAAUCGUACUCAAACUGAAGAUAAAAUAAAGCCUGGCUAAAAACCUUGA